rnacentral:tRNA from 1 species
GCCGGGAUGGCGGAACUGGUAGACGCACGGGACUCAAAAUCCCGCGCUGGCGACAGCGUGCCGGUUCGAUUCCGGCUCCCGGCACCA